rnacentral:rRNA from 1 species
UACGUAGGGUGCGAGCGUUAAUCGGAAUUACUGGGCGUAAAGCGUGCGCAGGCGGUUUUGUAAGCCAGAUGUGAAGGCCCCGGGCUUAACCUGGGAAUGGCAUUUGGGACUGCAAGGCUUGAGUGCGGCAGAGGAGACUGGAAUUCCUGGUGUAGCAGUGAAAUGCGUAGAUAUCAGGAGGAAUACCGAUGGCGAAGGCAGGUCUCUGGGCUGACACUGACGCUCAUGCACGAAAGCGUGGGGAGCAAACAGG